rnacentral:rRNA from 1 species
GAUGAACGCUGGCGGCGUGCCUAAUACAUGCAAGUCGAGCGAACGGACGAGAAGCUUGCUUCUCUGAUGUUAGCGGCGGACGGGAGAGUAACACGUGGAUAACCUAACUAUAAGACUGGGAUAACUUCGGGAAACCGUAGCUAAUACCGGAUAAUAUUUUGAACCGCAUUGGUCAAAAGUUAAAUACGGUCUUGCUGUCACUUAUAGAUGGAUCCGCGCUGCAUUAGCUAGUUGGUAAGGUAACGGCUUACCAAGGCAACGAUGCAUAGCCGACCUGAGAGGGUGGUCGCAUACCCGGGAACAGAGACUGGGUCCCGACUCCUACGGGAGGACGCAGUAGGGAAUCUUCCGCGAUGGGGGAAAGCCUGACGGAGCAACGCCGCGUGAGGGAUGAAGGUCUUAGGAUCGUAAAGCUCUGUUAUUAGGGGAGAAGAUAUGUGUAAGUAACUGUGCAGAUAUUGACGGUACCGAAUGAGAAAGCCACGGCUAACUACGUG